AUGAUUACCAUUUGUUACAGGUAAUUACAAUACUAUGCAGCUAAAUUUUGGUGGUUGAUUUUACAAAGAACAUUGGCCACAUUAUGAGCACAACCGGUGGCAAAGGUUUCGAACAAAUUUCCAUUUUUACGUGCAGGUCAACGGUUCUCUUUAACGCUUUCUAUAGUGAUUUCCUCCAGCUAUUUUUUGUCUACUAGCACAACAUCCUAAAAAAAAAAGCGGUUCUUCGUAUGUCGUUAGGCAGAGUAGCAAACCAGAGCUUGAAGCGUCGCCGCGAACAUCUCACUGGUCAAAAAUUUAUAUUUUUCUCCUACGUCAUCGUUGCUUACGCCGCUGAAGAAAACUGCCUCCAUCAUAUAUACGGUUAGGUCAGGUAUUAUUAUUAUUAUAGGGUAGCACAAUGUGACGUACUGCAGUCACAAGAGUACAUCGCAAUCUUGCACGUGACGCUUACAAACUAAAUGAGGCAAGUUGGAAGUGUCGCUACAAUGUACAUACGGUAUUUGCAUAAUUCAUCGCCUGUAGUUCUAUGGGAUAUUCGCGCCUCACAGAAAAGAGGCUGCGAAAAAGAAAAAAAAAAGAAAAAAGAAACACCGAAAGGAGAAACUGAGGAUUGAGUGAGUGAGGGACAUGCGGCCUGUUGACAGCUGCAAGGAAAUCUACUCUGCGUUUCAGCAUUUCUUCAUCUUUUUUUUUCCGUGCCGCUUGCGAGCACAAAUGCACGAACGAUUUCCUUGCGCAACUACGGAGCCGGGCCAUCGUGGCGGGCGGAAGGGUACGUGCCGCCUUGAGCGAAACCGUAUAUAACGGUGGCAGUUCCGGCAACGAGGCACCGACACCGACCGCAUCACGCAGCCUCUUCUCUCGAGCAGCAGCCUUCGGAGCAUCACGCACCCAGCUACCAUGAUCAAGGUUCUGGUCCUCCUCGCCAUUCUGGCCUUGUUCGCUGUCUCCUACACUGUGGCAGCGCCACAGUACUACGUCGCAGACAGCCUGUACUACGGCUAUCCGUACGCGGGUUACUAUGGCGCCUACUACCCGCACUACUACUACGGGCGCUAAGCUCGAUCCACAACGACAGUUCACGGUAACCCUUUCUUCGAAAGCAACCUCACCUCGCUAACGCAUUCCAGUGUCCACUGCCAAUGGCACCUGUGAAGUACUGCCUCGUCAUCCCGGCAUGUUGAACU